AAAAAUUCGUUGGCUCGAGCGGGAUUUGAACUCGCAUCUUCGGGUAUCUAGACCGCCGCUCUACCCAUUUAGCUAUCUAGUCAACAGGGAUUGGUAGCGAGUAUUAUCUGAUUUAAGUGCACGAAAUAUUUUCGUGACAACUUAAAGCUCGUCUUGCGAGUUCAAAUUCCGCUCGAGCCAACGAAUUUUU